GGCCCGUUAGUCUAUCGGUUAGGACGCAUCCCUUUCACGGAUGAGAGACGAGUUCGAUUCUCGUACGGGCUA
rnacentral:tRNA from 1 species